rnacentral:rRNA from 1 species
AGCGAACGCUGGCGGCAGGCCUAACACAUGCAAGUCGAACGAACCCUUCGGGGUUAGUGGCGGACGGGUGAGUAACACGUGGGAACGUGCCUUUAGGUUCGGAAUAACUCAGGGAAACUUGUGCUAAUACCGAAUGUGCCCUUCGGGGGAAAGAUUUAUCGCCUUUAGAGCGGCCCGCGUCUGAUUAGCUAGUUGGUGAGGUAAUGGCUCACCAAGGCUACGAUCAGUAGCUGGUCAGAGAGGAUGACCAGCCACAUUGGGAUUGAGACACGGCCCAAACUCCUACGGGAGGCAGCAGUGGGGAAUCUUGCGCAAUGGGCGAAAGCCUGACGCAGCCAUGCCGCGUGGAUGAUGAAGGUCUUAGGAUUGUAAAAUCCUUUCACCGGUGAAGAUAAUGACUGUAGCCGGAGAAGAAGCCCCGGCUAACUUCGUGCCAGCCGCCGCGGUAAGAC